GUAGGUGAACCUGCGGAAGGAUCAUUAUCGUACAACCGAGGUGCAAGGGCUGUCGCUGACCGUCAAAGGUCGUGCACGCCCGAGCGCUCUCACACAAUCCAUCUCACCUUUGUGCAUCACCGCGUGGGUCCCCUUUGCGGGAGGGCUUGCGUUUUCACAUAAAAACUCGAUACAGUGUAGAAUGUUUCUUUUGCGGUCACACGCAAUCAAUACAACUUUCAACAACGGAUCUCUUGGCUCUCGCAUCGAU
rnacentral:misc_RNA from 1 species